rnacentral:rRNA from 1 species
GCAGUAGCCACGGUAAUACGAAGGGUGCAAGCGUUAAUCGGAAUUACUGGGCGUAAAGCGUGCGUAGGCGGUGAGUUAAGUCUGCUGUGAAAUCCCCGGGCUCAACCUGGGAAUGGCAGUGGAUACUGGCUCGCUAGAGUGUGUCAGAGGAUGGUGGAAUUCCCGGUGUAGCGGUGAAAUGCGUAGAGAUCGGGAGGAACAUCAGUGGCGAAGGCGGCCAUCUGGGACAACACUGACGCUGAGGCACGAAAGCGUGGGGAGCAAACAGGAUUAGAUACCCCAGUAGUCCCUGUCUUUUAUAC